UUUGAUCAUGGCUCAGAAUGAACGCUGGCGGCGCGCCUAAUACAUGCAAGUCGAGCGAGAAGACGUAGCAAUACGUUUGUAAAGCGGCGAACGGGUGAGGAAUACAUGGGUAACCUACCCUUGAGUGGGGAAUAACUAGCCGAAAGGUUAGCUAAUACCGCGUACGCUUCUUGGACUUCGGUUCAGGGAGGAAAGCGCUACCGUGGGUAGCGCGCUCUUGGAUGGGCUCAUGUCCUAUCAGCUUGUUGGUGAGGUAACGGCUCACCAAGGCUUCGACGGGUAGCUGGUCUGAGAGGACGACCAGCCACACUGGCACUGCGACACGGGCCAGACUCCUACGGGAGGCAGCAGUAAGGAAUAUUGCGCAAUGGGCGAAAGCCUGACGCAGCGACGCCGCGUGGGGGAUGAAGGUCUUCGGAUUGUAAACCCCUUUCGGGAGGGAAGAUGGAAUGGGGUAACCCAUUCGGACGGUACCUCCAGAAGCAGCCACGGCUAACUUCGUGCCAGCAGCCGCGGUAAUACGAAGGUGGCAAGCGUUAUUCGGAUUUACUGGGCGUACAGGGAGCGUAGGCGGUUCGGUAAGCCCUUUGUGAAAUCUCCAGGCUUAACCUGGAACAGUCGGAGGGGACUGCCGGGCUAGAGGACGGGAGAGGAGCGCGGAAUUCCCGGUGUAGCGGUGAAAUGCGUAGAGAUCGGGAGGAAGGCCGGUGGCGAAGGCGGCGCUCUGGAACGUUUCUGACGCUGAGGCUCGAAAGCGUGGGGAGCAAACAGGAUUAGAUACCCUGGUAGUCCACGCCUUAAACUAUGAAUACUAAGUGUCGGCGGGUUACCGCCGGUGCCGCAGCUAACGCAUUAAGUAUUCCGCCUGGGAAAGUACGGCCGCAAGUUGAAACUCAAAGGAAUUGACGGGGCCCGCCACAAGCGGUGGAGCAUG
rnacentral:rRNA from 1 species